GAUGAACGCUGGCGGCGUGCCUAAUACAUGCAGGUCGAGCGAACGGACGAGAAGCUUGCUUCUCUGAUGUUAGCGGCGGACGGGUGAGUAACACGUGGAUAACCUACCUAUAAGACUGGGAUAACUUCGGGAAACCGGAGCUAGUACCGGAUAAUAUUUUGAACCGCAUGGUUCAAAAGUGAAAGACGGUCUUGCUGUCACUUAUAGAUGGAUCCGCGCUGCAUUAGCUAGUUGGUAAGGUAACGGCUUACCAAGGCAACGAUGCAUAGCCGACCUGAGAGGGUGAUCGGCCACACUGGAACUGAGACACGGUCCAGACUCCUACGGGAGGCAGCAGUAGGGAAUCUUCCGCAAUGGGCGAAAGCCUGACGGAGCAACGCCGCGUGAGUGAUGAAGGUCUUCGGAUCGUAAAACUCUGUUAUUAGGGAAGAACAUAUGUGUAAGUAACUGUGCACAUCUUGACGGUACCUAAUCAGAAAGCCACGGCUAACUACGUG
rnacentral:rRNA from 1 species